rnacentral:lncRNA from 1 species
GCUCCCUUUAAAACAACUAGGAAAUAUCAUCUGUGCUUUUGGCAGGAAUGCAGACAGACACCCUGAUAGCAGGUUACUCCUUGGCCAUCUGUGAGCCAAGCUGUGGUGGCACCAUUACCAGUCCCUCCUCCUUGUGGAUUCCCCAGCUCUCUCUGGGACACUGGAAGCAGCUCUGUGGGCCAGGAGGGACUGUCCCCGUGUCCAGCUCUGCCCUUCCUUGUUUUGCACCACAAGGCGAUAUUACAUGAGGUCAUCUUUGGUGAAGGGGAAAACCACCGAGCACUAUCAUUAUGUUUGCAGUUCAGAGACACUUCUGUGCCUCACGACUUCAGCGCAAAUUACUGAAUUUUACAGAUGGCUACAUUAAUUAAAAAACAAGAACAGCCUCCCACUGCUUCGGCAGCUCGCCCUGAGGAACCUGGAUCCCGGCAGCUCCCACAGACCCCGCUCCGGAUCCAUGAUCACCUCAGGCAUACCCUCACGGCUGCCCGGUCCUGCCUCAAAGGCUCACCGAGGUCGAGCACACUGAACGUUCCUUCUCGUAAAUUGACGAGUUUCUGCUCAAAAGGAGUUUCUACUUACUAGAGUGCAUUGGCCAGGAGGAAGAAACCUUCUGUAGAUUUCUCUGCAGCUCUAAGGCAGCCACUGCCCCGCUGCUGUCCGUCCCUCCGCCGCGCUCUCACCUCGUCAGCCUCUCCUAGGGGACAGUGAGUGUCAUCACCCCCACUUCCAGAGGCAGCAGAAGAGCGGGAAGCCCUAAGAAUAUGGGCUCCGGCUCCUGGAGCAGGCUCGGUGCCACCUCCCCACCCCACAGCACGGCCAGCCCGGGAUCUCCCGCACCGAACCCAUGGGCACUGCCUGGCACAUCCCGCCCCCUUCCUUCCCCUCACGGCCCGGCCCGGCCGCCUCCUCACCUGCCGCGAGCGGGGCUCCGGCGGCCGCCGGGGGCUGCAGCGGCUCCUGACUCCCGGUACCUCGGCCUCGAAGAGUUCCUUUUCUUUUCACGGGGAUCUCCUGAGCAAUUGAUCACCGCGGAGCCGGGCCAUUCAUGA